rnacentral:lncRNA from 1 species
AUGCAUACAACCAUUAGAGCAUAAAGUAAAAAAACUUACCACGACGUCCCAUACCACCGGGAAGUACACCCAAAAGAACAUAAAGUAAAAAACUCAUCACGACAUCCCAUACCACUAAAGAGUGUAUCAAUAUAUCAAACAUCAACUUAUCAAGAUAUUUGUAUAACCAACUCACAUUUAUCCACGGUUUCCACAUUUCCCAUCAACGAUCAUUUGCCAAGAUCCAUAAUCAUCAUCAAUU